CUCAGGUUUGCAAGAUCUCACACGGUGAAGUAUGGAGUAGAAAUAACUCUGCAGCGACUAGGUGUCAGCGGCGGGGCCCUCUCCGUCGCCGCCUUUGGCAGCACAAAGUCCCGGAUCAACGGUGGGACCCUCAUCAGUUUGGCGUUGGUACUAGAGUUCAAGCUGGGUGGAGUGAAGAUGGAGAAUGUGUAUAAAGCAACAGUUGGAGCUACAGCACAAAAUGGAUACUAUGUAGCCUAUGAUGGCUGGGGAAACAGGGAAGAGUGUGCGGCAGUGCGUGGGCGCGCAGGCGAGCGAAUGCGUGGUGCCGCAGGAGUUGAAGUUGCAGUCCUUCAUCAGAUAGACUUCUUGCACAGUGAGAGAUCUGCAGCAUGCUGAUGGUAGUCCAUCAUUUCUGGAGAAGGCCCUGAAGUUCAUUGAAGAUCAUGGGGUAAAGGUAGAGGGCAUCCUGCGUCAGUCUGCUGAUGUUGAAGAAGUCAAACGCAGAAUUCAGGAUUAUGAAAAGGGGAAAAACGAGUUCUCUCCAGAAGAGGAUGCUCAUGUUAUUGGUGACUGUAUUAAGGUAUAUAUCUGGCAAGUGUUGGUUACAAUCUCACUUAAUAGGAAUGCUCUUCACUGAUAUUUGUCUGGUUUUCCUUUAAUACAAUAUGUUCUUAGAGAGAUGCCGUCAUCUCCAGUUCCUGCAUCAUGUUGCACUGCCCUGGUUAAAGCAUACCGUAAGAUUAAUUUGAAACUUUGUUUAUGCAUUCAGUAGUUACCUUGUAUUAAUCAAUCAAACUGAUAUGUAAUACGAAUUGAUGACAUAAAGUAACUACCAUAAUUAAAUCAAUACAUGCCCUUA